rnacentral:rRNA from 1 species
GACAUACCACAUAUAAGAGGUCAUUAUAGACGAAGAAGUUUGGAAAAACUCAUCAUAGAAGGUAAUAAUCCUGUAGUCAAAAUAAUAAUUCUUUAGGUAUGAUCCAGAGUACCACGGGACACGUGAAGCCCUGUGGGAAGCAGGAGGGACCACCCUCCAAGGCUAAAUACUACCUAGUGACCGAUAGCGUAUAGUACCGUGAGGGAAAGGUGAAAAGAACCCCG